UCGUUGAAGACUACAACGUUGAUAGGCUACAGGUGUAAGUGCAGUAAUGCAUUCAGCCGAGUAGUACUAAUUAGCCGAAUGGCUUUGCCAA
rnacentral:rRNA from 1 species